ACCUUGAAUUGUCUAUUUUAUUUAGUAGUCUUUGUACACCUUGAAUUGAAUAUUUUAUUUAUGGUUGAAGUUAUUGCUUAUUUAUGCAAAUUUAUAAUUAAUACAUUCUAUUUUUUAUUCACUUUGAAGGUAAGGUUCAUGUCAACUCCCCUGUUCUAGUUUGUUUAAUAUGUUCACACCAUAUACAGGCACUGAUCAUUUUCCAAAUAUAAGCUCGCCAAUUCAGUAAUCACAAACUUUCCAAUUGAUAUCAUAUAUUCCUAUAUCACAAUAGAAAAUACCUGUGUUGAAACUAGUUGAAACUUAGGGUAUCGUAAUUGACACCGUUGUCAUAUUGUUGACAAGCUGUUCCAAGAAUUCAACUUGUAGUAAUCUGUGAGUGUGUUGUGCAGUGCAUAGAAAAUUAAACUGAAGGCAUAAAAGUCAUAAAACUAUCGUUUGUAAAAAGUAAUUUUUCAUUAGUGAGCAUAGGCCUCUUGUGCAGCGGAUUCUGAGUCAAAAUUUCUGACAUGUGAAUAUUUGACUAUUUUGGGAUAGGCCAUAGACAUGAAAUAUAUAUAUUACGUCACUGAGAUUGGCACGUGUCUUGAAACUUCAAUCAGUUAAAUAAAUCAAAACAUCAAACAAAAAUAGGUUAUGUUGUUGUUCGUGAUGUAAUCCUUUUAAAGAAAUGAAAUGUUAAUAUUUGUGUGUUGAUGUUUGCAAUGGAUGAAUGUGAAUCUCUGCCAUACAAGGCAUUGAAGAAUUGACUUUUGAAACCAGAAUAGUUUUAAGGGGCAGUUUGACAUGUGAAGCAUAUUGUUUACACCUUAUCAUGGAAUUUGAUUCCCAAAGUCAAUAUUCUGAUGAAGGAGUAGAUUUAUCCAUAUCAGAAAAUGGGGAACUAUACCCAAAGGACUAUUCCUUCCUGGAAGACUCUCAACCAUCAUUUUUGGAAGCAAAAAUUGUGUUUUUGCUGAUGCAAAGAAAUGUUCCAGUUUCUAGGGCAUCUCGGCUGCAAUGGCUUUUAGAUCACCUCAAUACAAUAGUCACUCCUAGUCAAAAUUUGACUGAGACAUCUAACAACUUAGAAGUGAUAGCGGCAAUACCGAGAGAACAAAAUUCAAAUCCAANAU